rnacentral:rRNA from 1 species
CACACUGCCCGUCACGCCAUGGAAGCUGUUUGUACCCGAAGUUGCCUUAGCCAACCUGCAAAGGAGGCGGGCACCUAAGGUAUGGGGAGUGACUGGGGCG